GGUUUCUGGUGGUGGGCAUGCAACGGGCAGCCACUCCACCACAUUUUCUUCCUCAAUGUUUUCAAGCCUAUUGGACCUACACAUGGAGCCAUCGGAGUUUAUGGACACUGCAGCAAUCAGAAACAAGAAGAAAUAACUCAAUUUAAAAUUAAUGUGGAUGAAGAAAACAAGCUCAAGGGGCAGAUGAUGAUGAAGGAAGAAACAAUGCAGUUUUUCUGCAUUGACUUGUCAAAUUCAUCAAGUGCAGGAGGAGAUGGAUUGGCCUCCCUCUACUUCCUCAUUGCUUAUUCUUCAUUGGUAACUGGAAAGGUAUUUCAAAACCAAAGUGCUGGAAUUUUUCA